rnacentral:rRNA from 1 species
AUACGUAGGGUGCAAGCGUUAAUCGGAAUUACUGGGCGUAAAGCGUGCGCAGGCGGUUUUGUAAGACAGAGGUGAAAUCCCCGGGCUCAACCUGGGAACUGCCUUUGUGACUGCAAGGCUAGAGUACGGCCGAGGGGGAUGGAAUUCCGCGUGUAGCAGUGAAAUGCGUAGAUAUGCGGAGGAACACCGAGGGCGAAGGCAAUCCCCUGGGCCUGUACUGACGCUCAUGCACGAAAGCGUGGGGAGCAAACAGGAUUAGAUACCCUGGUAGUCCACGCCCUAAACGAUGUCAACUGGUUGUUGGGUCUUCAUUGACUCAGUAACGAAGCUAACGCGUGAAGUUGACCGCCUGGGGAGUACGGCCGCAAGG